rnacentral:rRNA from 1 species
UACAGAGGGGGCAAGCGUUAUUCGGAAUUAUUGGGCGUAAAGAGCGUGUAGGCGGUCAGGUAGGUCCGUUGUGAAAACUCGAGGCUCAACCUCGAGACGCCGAUGGAAACCAUCUGACUAGAGUCCGGAAGGGGAGAGUGGAAUUCCUGGUGUAGCGGUGAAAUGCGCAGAUAUCAGGAAGAACACCCGUGGCUAAGGCGGCUCUCUAGUACGGUACUGACGCUGAGACGCGAAAGCGUGGGGAGCGAACAGG